UAUAUGUAAAUAAAUAGAGGUUUUUCUACUACUUAUUCCACGCGUUUAGCAUAUAAAUAUUGAUAUUGUGAUAAUAUUUGAUAAUUAAUAAGUUAAUAACUUUAUUGUAUUACAAUAAAACAAAUAAUUUUUUACAAAGCAAAAUAUUAGCAACAAAUAACAUAUACAAAGCAUAAUCACACUUAAAUAAUAUAAAUUUAUAUCAAAUAAUUAAAAAGCAAAAAGUGAAUUAAAACUCUUUAAAAAUCUACUCUUCUCAAGUUUAAACUCUAAAUAAAAAAAAUAUUUUUAAAAUCACUUUUUGAAACUCGAAACUAAAAUAAAAAUUGCAAACGAACUUUAAAUAAAUAAAAAUUUAGAUAUUUACAAAAGCGUUAAGCAAAAAGCGAAAAUUCCACAACUCCGCUUAAACACACACACUCACUUACACACUUGUAUCCACUGCGCUGCUCAUCAGUUCAGUGCGACGCCGGCGCAGGCAGCUCAGCUACGAAGGCUUCAAGUGUGUAAUUAGCAGCAUUCCGCUUGGCAUUCCGUCUAGUGGAUAUUUAUCGUCGGUGCUCGCAGCUGCGUUUAGAACAAGUCACGCUGAUGAUGGGAUACAUCAUGGGGUGUGCUUGUUUCAAAGGUAAAGGAUUCAAAGGUAAGUGUUAUGAGAGUCUUGAUGUAAAUUUUGAAGUAUUCAGUGCUAAAAUUGAGUUUGGGUAAGUCAGUAGAAAGCAAGUAAAAGUUAAUGGAUAAAAAAUGGAAACCCAUUAAGUUAGUGUGUAUUAAUGUUCGAAAAAUACAAAAUUUUAAAUUCUUUUUUCAAAUUAGAAAUAAACAAGAAAAAAAGUAAACUUCGGCUGUACCGAAGCUAAUAUACCCUUCAUAGGUGCAUUUCUUUUAGUAACUAUGUGUUUAAGCAAAUCUAAAGACGUAAGAAAAAGUAAGUAAAAAAAAGAAAACAUUUUACUAAUUCUUUUUAGCCGGGUCGUUUACUAGAAACAUUAAGGUUAUAUAGUUAACCGAUCUGAACAAUUUCUACGGAGAUUAUAUUAUUACCUUAAGCAGUAAUCCAUGUCAAAUUUCGUGAAGAUACCACGUCAAAUGCGAAAAUUUUCCAUACAAGCCAUUGAUUCCGAUCGUUCGGUUUGUAUUGCAGCUAUAUGAUAUAGUGGUCCGAUAUCGGCAGUUCCGACAAAUGAGCAGCUUUUUGAAGAGAAAAUUGCAUCUGCAAAAUUUCGAAACGAUAUCUUAAAAACUGAAGGACUAGUUCGUAUAUAUACAGACAGACAGACGGACAGACGGACAUGGCUAAAUCUACUCAGCUCAGCAUACUGAUCAUUUAUAUACAUACUUUAUAGGGCCUCCGACGCUUCCUUCUGGGUGUCACAAACUGCAUGACAAACUUUAUAUACCCUGUUCAGAGUAUAAUUAAAGUCGAAUCUCAAGUUCAUAAAUGGAAUUAAAUUGAUAUCUAAAAUAUUAUGAAAAAAAAAAAACAAAAAAAAAAUUAAAAUACACAGUGCGCUAAAAAAUACUGCUGAAAUUUUAUUUUUAUUAAGCAAAAAUAAAAAUCAUCUAAUUUGAUUCAAAAAACGUAUUAAAUGAGCCCCAACUACUGUUAGCUGGCAUACUAUAGCAGCAGCCAAAUUAAGUGACUGCUAGUAAAUUCUAAAUAAAUAAAUAAAAAUAUAAUUCUAACAACAAAUUUUACUCGCAUUUCAACGAAUGCAAGUCCACAGAGAGCCACUCGCUGAAAAAUUUAUUAAGAAAGUUCGCUAACUUUAAGAGUCUGCUGAACUUUCCCUUGCGACAUGUCCACUUAACGGUGUAUGUGCGUUGACACGUGUAGCAUUGUGUGGAUAUUUUAUUUACUGAUUUGUUCCAUUUCAUUCGUUUUCUAAUCAACACCGUUAUCAGAACGCAGAGAGUAUGGUUGAAGCAACAUUUCGUCGAAUUUUCGCAAUUCUUGUUUAUGGACUUUGCCACAAGCUCUAACCAUUUAUACCGUUACAUAACAAGUGAGUGUUUUAUUGUAAACAUAAUGUCCAAUUUAUGUGUGCCAUAAAACAAGUCAUAACCUAAAAGUUUUUCAAGUUAAUCAACAAGUUGAGUGUGUGGGUGAGAGUGGUCUUCAAGAGUUUCUCCUGCAUUUGUUAUGAGUAAAUAAUUUAUAGAAUAUGACAUGUAAUAAAAAAGAAUACUUUAAGCAAUUGUUGUGAUUACUGUUAUUGGAUUUUUUGUUUCUAUUAAAUGCGUUCUUAACGGUAAUAUAAUAAGUCUAUGCCUCGACUGUUUGAGGGGUCUUAAAAAAGACUCUUUAAAGUUGUGUUAUCCUUUGAGCUUACAAAAAGUUUUUGUGUUUACUGAUAAUUAAAUAAUUUUCAUAAUUUACCCAAAACGAAUCUAAGCACUAGAUUUACUCUCGCAUAAAUUCUCCUUUGUUUGCUUCACCUUGAAAGCGCCUCUUCUUCUUUCUCUACAUUCAAUGUGUAUUUAUGUGUGACUACUGUGUGCUUAUCCCUAUAUAUAAGUAACAAUUGUUAUGUACCGUUACCAGUACUUGCGAGGAAAUAAACAUAACCGUUAAGCUAACACUUUGCAGCUUUAUAUUUAUAUUUAUUUAUGUGCAUAGCGGCUUUAUGGCCAUUUUAUGUGGCAUUACAGUGAAAUUUAAUUAACCAACAACAUUCGCCGAGCGCAUAACACAAAUACUCACACAUGGCAGCUAUGAAGCACACACACACAGCCAAACACACAUGCGACCUUGUAUGUGUGUGUGCGUGUAAUCCUCGGCAUGCUUCACAGGCUAUUAAUCGAAAGUUAUGUAUGAGGAGCUCAUGUACUCUCAUGUGUGGUUGUAUGGAGACUUGCUGGUCAGCAUUUUUCUAAGAAGUCACGCUUCUGUAAAUCGCUCACUACUUUGCUUCUCACAUACAUACAAAUGAACAGUUGCAUACAGUUACAAUGACUUUCAUUUAAUGCGCUUGUAUGCAUGUGUGUAUGUGUGUGUGUGUUUUAUGAAAUAGAUUGAUGAUCUUACAUCUGCUAUUCGUCAUGACUUCCCCAUUCGUUUUUGUAAGUGAAACUUUUAUCUCUUUGUUGUCUGAGUUUUGAUGCGAAUCAGCAAGAAAUGGAAAAUUGUGCAAAUAAUUACGAAAGUGGAAAGUAAUUGUUAAUAAAACAUUGUUGUUGGACGGUAUUCUUCAUUUUCCAGACUUACAUUAUUUUUGUAAGAACGAUAAUAAACAAGUAAGGAAGCGCUAAGUUCGGUUGUGACCGAAUAUUUAAUGCUCUAGCAAUUUAUUUAUUGGAUUUUAAUUCACAGGAGUAAUUCUUGGACCGACUUUUCUAAUUUUCACCACCAAACUGUAUUAUAUCCAAGACUAUACUGCUAAGAUAUCUCACAUAUUACCGAUAUAUACGGCAUAAAGUCGAUCGGAAGCUUGACAAACCUAAUAUCAGGUAUUAAGUGCAGAGGCACACCAUUAUUUCUAAAUUUCCAUAAAAUAUCUGAUAGAUUUAACAAUUUUCGGUAAACAAUUAUAAAUAGGUAUUGAGUCCCAUAGGUACCGUUUCUGGCACCGAGGGCAUGUAUAGUCCGAUUUCGACAAUUUUUAAACAAGCAAUGCCGCACAUCCAAUGUAGUAUUAGUGCAAAGUUUUGUUCCGAUAUCGUCAUUAAUUCUUGAUCUAUAAUUUGUGGAGUGAAGUGAAGUUCAAAAUGGAGUUCAAAAUUGGAUUAGAUGAUAAGUAGGCGUGGCUGUAAAACAAUUUCGCCAGUCUACCAUCUAAACCAUCAGAAUCUCAAAACAAGAGAAAACGUUAACUUCGGCUGUACCGAAGCUAAUACACCCUUCACAGGUGCAUUUCUUUUAGUAACUAUGUGUUUAAGCAAAUCUAAAGACGUAAGAAAAAGUAGGUUAAAAAAAAGAAAACAUUUUACUAAUUCCUUUUAGCCGGGUUGUUUGCUAGAAACAUUAAGGUUAUAUAGUUAACCGAUCUGAACAAUUUCUACGGAGAUUAUAUUAUUACCUUAAGAAGUAAUCCAUGUCAAAUUUCGUGAAGAUACCACGUCUAAUGCGAAAAUUUUCCAUACAAGCCAUUGAUUCCGAUCGUUCGAUUUGUAUGGCAGCUAUAUGCUAUAGUGAACCGAACUGAACAAUUUUUUCGGAUAUUAAAUUAUUUCUUUGAACAAUAACUCACACCAAAUUUCCUGAAGAUAUGUAGUAAAAAGCGGAAGUUUUCCAUACAAGCCCUUGAUUCCGAUCGUUCAGUUUGUAUGGCAGCUAUAUGAUAUAGUGGUCCGAUAUCGGCAGUUCCGACAAAUGAGCGGCUUCUUGAAGAGAAAAUAACAUCAGCAAAAUUUCAAAACGAUAUCUCAAAAACUGAAGGACUAGUUCGUAUAUAUACAGACAGACGGAUGGACGGACAAACAGACGGACAUGGCUAAAUCGACUCAGUUCAACAUACUGAUCAUUUAUAUAUAUACUUUAUAGGGCCUCCGACGCUUCCUUCUGGGUGUUAGAAACAUCGUGACAAACUUAAUAUACCCUGUUCAGGGUAUAAAAAUGUUAUGUACAAAAUUCGGUUAAAAUUAGUCGAGUUGCUCCAGCCGUUCCUAGGUUUUGACCCGGAAAAAAUAAUGACUAUUUUUGAGGUGAACUGUGAAAUAAAAAUGAUUGUAAAACAUAAGGAACGGGAAACUAACAGAUAAAAUUGAGAAUACUACUAACUUUUCCGAUGGCAAACUUCAAUGCUUUCGAAUUAUCUAGUAUACAUAUGUAGAGUUGUUUCCUUUUCGAUUCGGCUAUAACCGGCUAAACGGUUGCAACGCCAAUCACAUAUCACAUAUGUAGAGGUGGCGCUGUUGGUAUAACCUUAUAUAACUUGGUUGCUGAAAUAGAAAAAGUGUGAAUAAUUUGCAAUUUCAAUUUGUAUCCGAAUCAAACUAAGUACAUAUGUAUGUAAAAACCGUUAUUUGAAAAACAAUUACAACAAAAGAAUAUUAUUUUACGCUCAUAAUAAAUAAGUGAAAUUGGUUUUGUGUGCGAAAAUACACCAAAAAAUCAUAUUACAAACAAGUGAAUAAUUUAUUGUUUGCAAUCGAGUUAAAUUUAUUUGCAGACAAUAAAGUAAACACUCGUUAAUUGGCUCAAUUUUUUGUUGCGAAUUUCAUUUGAAGAAUCAUCAAAAUAAAUUCAAUUUGGAGGCAGUAAAUAAUUGAGGCGACCGCAGUAAUUGGCCGAAAAUGUUUUGCAUUCCAAAUAAAACCCUCAACAUUAUUUGUGCAAUAACAACAGCAGCAAUAAACACGCUGAAAUAUGUCGCGUUCGCAUGUGUGUGUGUGUGUGUUUGUGGAUUGGAAUAUUUUAUGCAACAUGGAAUUCAUUUUAAUAUUGCACACGAACGGCAGUGGAAACCGUUGUAUGGCGCUGCAUCGCUGGGACCCGCACAACAAUUGAAGGACGAUUGCGAGUUCGGGCGCACACAAAGCGCACGCUUUGCUGGCAAUAAAAUCAUGGAAUUGAAUAGUCGUUGUUUGCAAACCGCAAACUGCCUGUCAAACACGUGUGGCGAACAAUAAAACACCAACAACAACAACAAUACAAAAAUUAAGCUUCGCUUUUCAAAAGUUCAAAAUCAAAUGUAGAUCUGAGCUUUUGUUGCGGCAGCGGUAUAAUGGAACCACAAAAACGAACGGUAUCAAGCGAGUAAAAACCCUGAAAUUGACGCAAAAAAUAUUGAGUUGGCCAUGUGUGCGCGCCAUUGUUGGAGUAGAUGCUUUUACACCUACACUCUCACAAACGCCAGCUGCCCUGCAGGACAUUCUUCCUAAAAACCUUGGAAAAAAAACUAGCGACUCCGAGGCUAUGAUGAAAGCCAUGCAAAGCGACAUUGAGACCUGCCACAUUCACUAGAAAAAUCCUUUCACUCAAUGCAUAUGUAUUCUAUAGAAUUAGAAGAUCUCGUGCUAUUUCAAUUUCUUCCAGAUCAAUUGACAUUUUUUUCACUCAUAUUUCCGUUAUAAUAUUUAUUUUGACUUUCCACUGAAGUUCUGCACAUUUUUACCGCUUACUGUGAAAUCCUUUGUUUGUUGUUGUUGUUGGUGGGGCCACAGCUCGACAAAGUAGUUGGUAAGUGCCUUAUGUAACGAGCACAAUUCGCUUUUUGCCGCGCUCUGAUGUAUUGUCAAAGUUUCGGCGAAAAGCAAAAAAUCAAAGCGUGUGGCCAUUGUUGUAUGGCAUUUAAAGUGACACCAUAGAGAUCUACCGCCACCAUGGCUAGGAAGUGCCGUUAUUGUGUGUGCGCGUAUGUGUGUUGAGCGCCUGAAAGUAUGCGAUAGUAUUUUUUUGAGAGCCCGAACCCGCAACGUUCGCACUGUGUGGAGAGCAGUGCAUACAUUGCCGCGUUGAAAACGUUGACAGCUCUGUUUAAACUACAGCUGAUGACAAGGGCGUGACCAAAAAAAAAUAUGAGUAUAUAUUUACAUAUGAUAUAUGGAGUGGUGUUGCCACUAUUUGUUGUUGAACAAAUGUUUUUGCUUCAUGCGAGUAAAUAACGGAAGCAGCAUGUUAAUUGAAUGGCCUUAAGUAAUAGUGAAGUGGACGCUUAAGUUUUUUUAAACAUUUUUUCAGUUCGGACCAACCUCCAUUGCAUAAAAUUAAUUAAUUCCACACCAAUUUAAUUAAUUUACAAUUAUUCCAGUUAUUAUAAAAUAAUUAAUGUGAUACUCAUGCGCAAGAAAGUUGUAAACGAAAAUGUAAGAGAGAGUUUUCAUGAAAUAUUCCAAAAUUUCGAAGUAUAAAAUGCAAGCGAGCACUAAAGUAUGCUACAAAAAAGCAGCUUCAUCAUUUUUUGCCUGAAAGUAUGCGUUGUCAUUUGCAAACUCUUUUUAGUUAUAAUUACGCUGUGAGAAAUGUCGCGUUUUUAUAUGCUUUCCUUUUAAAGCGAAGUUUCUUUACUUAUCAUGCGAUUGCAUUAAAAAUUAUGACGCUACUCCUGCAGCGUUUUCCACUUACUUUUUCGACAUUCACAAUUUAACAGCUUCACCGCUUUUUCGCCAUUUAUUUCUAUAAGAGUUUUGUUUAUUUAUUUUAUUUCCAGCUUUUAUGUUUUGUUUCGCUUUUUAUAAGCGUGGCACUUUUCACAUUUCCGCCGCACUCGGCAUGGGCGAGCAGCGCACACUUUACGCGUAGCAUACCCUUAGGCGUUGUAAAGCUUUAAUCUAGCAUUGUGUGGAGUAGCAGCAUGUUUCGCGCUGUGCGCCAUUGCUAUCAGCCAACUGACAACUGUCAGCUGUACACAAUAAUUUAUAGAUCUCGUUUCGUCCCCCAUUUUGUGUGGCGAUACUUUUUGUUGUUGUUUACAAAUAUUUUUUUUUGUUUUUGGUUCAACAUGAAAGUGGUGUUGCCACUGUUGCAACCAUGUGUGCGCCUUCGGGAGUGCGUGUGUUGGGGUUUAGACGACAGAUGUUGCUCUUCUCUGGCUUUUUGCUGCAUUUUGGAGGUGGGACAACUCUUGUUCGUUGUACUUGUUCGUGCAUAAAUCCUUUCGCGGGUGUUUUAUGUAUUUUAUAGCUUUUUACCCGUUUUGCUGUUCAUUUUACUUCGCUUAUUUAUGGUUUUUAUUUAAUAUACAAAAUAACAAUAUAAUCCUACAAGUAUCUCUAAUUCUUUUUGCUCGAAAAUUCCUACACAAACGCUUCAGAUUCUCACAUGAGUAUUGAUUUUUCGAAGCGCUGCCUUUAAAGGGUUUCCAAUAUGACUUCUUUGAGGAAAUUAAGAAUCAGUCGCAUUUGUCCUCACAAUCCCUCACUAGAACUCACAAAGUUGCAGCAUCAAUUAAAGAGAAGAGCCACCGCUGUUGGGAAAAGCGCCAUGAAAAAGCCAUCAGCCACUGACAACAACGCUUGAUAGCCUUGACCAUGACCAAAACACGCUGCUGAAACACCACAGCCCAGAACUACAACAACAGCAAUAGCAGUGUCAUUACAACAACAUAAUGAUGAACAUAAACACCAUGAUGAUGAUGACGCUAAGACAAGUUGGAGGCCGCCACUGCUGAUGGCUGCAGCAUUGAACAUUGAAAAUGCGGAAAUAAAAGAGAGAAUGCGGCUGCAGCCGCUCGACAUGUCGACUGUCAUUAAGUGCAAACGAAGCGAACAGCGCUUGACAUAAAUUUGCACGACAUAUUGCUAAAUAGAGGCAAAAACAAAAACGAAAACGAAACGACCCUAACGACAAUCAACAGUCGCCAGUUGCCAGUUGCCUUGCAUCACAAACCAUGCUGCACUCCGCCGCUCUCUCGCCCUUCUCCAUCCUCCCUAAAUGCCUGCAGAAUAUUUUUGCUAUUUUAUCGUUUUGUUCUUGGUGUUUUUGUUUUUGUUUGGUUGCUUUGUCGGCUUUGUUGCGCAACCGAAUACCGCAUUUACGCGGCCGAUAGCAAAAUAUUCCACAAACUCUUAUUGCCACUGUCAGGGCCACGCGGAGGCUGCAGCUGCUGCUGCCGCUGAGACCGAGGCUGAGGCUACAGGAAGCGUUGCAGCAGCACGAGGGCGCACACAAAUGUCGUUAUCUCGCAGACAGACCGUCAGCACGUGGCGUUUCAAGGUGGCCAACCGACGGUGGAGCUUCGGUUGGUGGGCAUUUUAGAUGAGCGGCGACAAAACACCGCCCACUCUCUCGCCACGCCAGAGCUGCUGCCCACUCACAACUGCGACGCUGCCAUUCAUUGCUGUUAUUGUGCCAUCAUAAUUUAUGCAUUUCGCUUGCGGCCAACUUUUUCCUUCCCCUUCCCCUUUUCCUACGCUUUGUUUGCCGCAAUUUCUAUCAACGUCAGGGAAUUUCUCCAGAGGGUCCUUUCCCAUUGCACACAUCUAUACAAAAAUGAGUCUGUGUGUGUGCGUGUCGGACCGCAUAUUUUCUUUGGCGAGAAUUUAUGAAAGCACAAAGUAGUGAAUUUCGAAAGGCGAAAUGUGUGGCACGAACAUAAACAGAACGCCGCAAUUGCGCUGCAGAUUUUUGAAUGCAGCCAUGAAUGAAUAAAAAUGUAAAUGUCUGUGGAUGGAUAAAGUGAAUUACGAAAUGAACUGCAAACGAGGUAGUCUAGUUGUUAAAUGGUUUAAAGGAGGUGUCUCACUUAUUUCAAUUUAUAGUCCAAAUUUGAUUUUAAAAUCUCAAAGAAGGAACUCAAGGAUGCUGGUUUCAAGAUCAAAGUUUUCGAAAUAUCAGAAGCGAGUUUUACUUAAAAUUUCUUUUAAAAUUUUAUAGUUUUUGUUGAUGAGAAACUUCCACUCAAUUUCCAUGAAAUUGUAUAUUGAAGAUUGUUUUUACUUUCUUCAGUCUCAAAUAAUUAUUUUUUUUGAGUUUUUGGAAUUAAUGAAAACCGGAAGAGUCGUACUUCUAAAUUCAAGUGUUGUAGGAAACUUUACAAAUAGUGCUACUCCGUUAACGGUUUUAUGUAACAUCAAACGCUAUUCGCACGUGUUAACCCCUUAGAAGUGCCGGGAAAUUACAAGCCAAUUACAAGCAAUUUUAUGCAACUCGCCAUGUACCGUUAGCACAGCUUAACGCCGCGCGGUGACAAUUAAUAUUACCCAGAACACUUAAAUGAUUUCGUUGAAAAGUUCGCGUUGCAAGUGCGUUAAACGGUAAAUGGCGACAUGCAGCGAGUUGACAUGACUUUGGUUGUGGCUUGUGGCAUUCAAGAGGCGAGAAGCGCGUGAAUUUCGUAGAAAUUUAUAAUAACUUAUAAUUAGGGUUGACAGCGGUGAAAGAAAGGAAAAAUUAAAAUUUUUUGCUUUUUUUUAAUUUCAUAAUAUAAUAAAAAAAUUGGUAAAUAAUUUAAAAAAAUUAAAUAUGAAAUGAAUUUAUUGUCCUUUUUAUGCAAAUAUUGUAUAUUUCAAAAAGUGUAGUCUACCUUUUGGCGCGCAGAAAAAAUCCGAAAAAUCGUAAUAUUACCAUUAUUUGAAGAGAAAGCAGCUGUUAGGGCGAAAUGACGCGACAAUUCAUCAUAGCAAUAAAUUUCAAAAUUUAAAUUUAAAAAUUACAGAAUUUUUAAAAAGAAAAAGAAAGAAUUUUUUCGUAUAUCGAGUCUCAUGAAUUGUGCAUUACUCUAUUAGCGCAGCUAUUAUUCAUAUUUAAUCGCAAAUUCAUUUCAAUCAGCGCUUCUUGGCACACGCACACACACACACUUACAUGUCUACAAAGAGUGUAAAGUAAAGCUUUGUUUGCUUCCUAAUUAAAUUUAGAAUACACAGCUGUCACUGGCGCAACAACCAGACAUGACUUCCACAUAUUGUCUAUCCUUGCGACAUUCAGCUGCUCCUACACAUACACACAUACAUCCAUAUGUAUCCUUUUGAAUGUGCAUACUUCAAUGGCAGACUUUUUGACAUUUUUAAUAAGAAACAAUUUCUGAACGACUGUGCACACAGUCGCUCGGAGAUAAUACAUCCAUAAGCACACACACUCCCACUAGCACACACAGAGAUGUUUCUGUGUGAAGUCACUAUUACUCGCUUUGUUGUUGUCGUGCAUUUUCACCAAGGACUGUUUUAAUUUUUAAUCCGAUUGCACAGUGCACGCGCGCGCGCCUUUCAACUAACGAAAAGCCAAUAACGAACACACACACACACUGGCACACUCAUACACAUGACAAACAGUUACUCAAGUAGUUGUUGUUGUGUGAGUUGUGUAACGCCAGCAGCUGUCAUGGAGAAUGAAGGAGCUGAGCAGCGUCUACAGCAAAAGCUGAGCUUGCAGAACUUUACUAUCCGAGAGUAAUGAAUGUUGGCACAUAUUUUUGUUGUAGUUGUAGUUGUACUUGUAUAGAGCGAGUGAAUGGAUAACUGAACCGCCGCCUUGAGUUGACAGCAGUAAAAUAAUUUGCUUUGCCUCUACUUGACGCGCUGAGCAAACAAACGCAGCGCUGCUGCUGCCUCGAAGAAAGCGUAUGAAUGACUUGACUUUGGCUGCAUGAAUAAAUGAAAUAUCUACUUUAAUAUGGCUUGGACUAAGUUGUAACAAACGCUUAAUGGUCUACUGAGCGCGCGCGUGUGUGUGUGUGGGUGGCUUGCGUAAUAUGGGUCACACGCGCUUCCAUAUUUUUUGUAUUCUUGUUCAUUAAUCGCUUGGGGUUACUGCGAGAUUGCUCGUUAUAAUGAAAUCGAUGUAAACAGUUAGCUUUACAAACAUACGUGUAUGUGAUUGGGGGUGUAUGUGUGACAAAGUAAUAUGCAGUAGAGUGCUUUGUUCUCAAACUGAUGAGUUUCUCGUGAUUACGGAGAUGUUUCUUCUUUGGACUGUCGAACAAAAUGUGAAUUUGUCAGUGUUGUAUUUGAAAAAGUAAUGACAAAACCAAUAAGUGUCCGCGUUUGUGGUUUCUUUUUUGAAGUGGUAACAAAGUAAUCACUUUGCGACUAGUUAGAAUUGGCAAUUUUUGUUUAUUAACUCUAUUCUUUUAUACUCCCUUCUUGAUUAUGUACGUAUAAUGGGAAUAUCUCCAAUAUGAAUGAAUUAGCAGCAUGACAGUGUGGCCAAACACCUUUAAAAAUUGAAAUUUUAUUUUAUGCGCUUGUUUAUCAAAAUAAUAUUUAAUUACGGUAAUAUCUCGUCCGAAAUUUAUGAGUUGCUCUUCGGCAGAGCAUCACAUCAAUAAAAAUGCGUCAGACUGUCAUUAGAAGAUAACUCACAUACACACACACUCACAUACAAUUUGUAUAAAGUGAAAUUUUUUGGCAUUUAAACUUGAAUUCCUUGUGACCUUGAGACAGCGCUCCAUGAUAUACAUAUGUCUGUCUGUUAAUACAUUCAUUGUUGUAAAAAUAAACAACUCAAAUAAAGAUUUCACUUUCUGCUGAAAGUCUGUCACACUGUGUUGUGUUAUUUCAUGUUUAUUUAUUUAUUUUUCAAAAUUCCAUCUUUUCGAUUUUGCCAUCCCUCAUAUUUCUGCAGAUAUACUAAUGCUAAGCGAAAUAUAAAAAGGAAAGCAUUUUUUUCCUCUACAAAUGCAUGUAUGGGUGUGUUAAAAGAUAAAUAAAUAAAAUAAAACAUGACAGUUGAACAAGACUCAUAAAAAGUCCAAGAUUUCAUAAUUUAUUAGGCCAUAUCGGUGUAGGAGAUUAUUAAUAUUUUUAUUGUAAAAAUUAUGUCAAAAAGAUAAUCGAAAACUUUUGUUGUAUUUUCUUCUUCUUUUCUUCUUUUUUAUUUAAUUUAUUUUAAAAAACAUUUUUUGGCUUCAUCUACAUAUGUGUUAUGUAUAAAAAUAAAAAUUUUCUAUUUUUUUUACGUCAUUAAAAUAUUAGUUCCUUUUCGUUGUUUUUUCGUUUUAUUUUCAGAAAAAAUAUUUGUUUACCAAAAUGUGUAAUGAAAAAUAAUAUUGCAAUAGCUUAAAGAAAUUUAAUGUUACCACCCUGUAUUGCUUAUGUCUGCUUAAAUUAAACUCGCCAACUGGCAGCCAAACGCUACUGCUGAUUUUUCACCAAUAACGUAUUCAGCAGCUACUCAAUUGAAAUGUCAACGUUUAAACCCACUCCCCCCUCCUCUACUGCUGCUAACUACUACCUUCGGAUUUACAUGCAUAUAUCGAAAUCCCUCGAGAUCACAUAAACCCACCACUUAAUGGAGUUAACCUGUCAUCAGUUUGCUCGAAUAUCCAGCCCAGUGCAACUCGGCGCCUUUAAUUUAUGCCACGUUUUUGUUGCAACGCAUUCACGUUGACCAGCCAAACACCACAUGUACGAGCGCCCAUUGCUCGGAGUGUGCGUGUGCGACAUGUUUACCGAAGUCACAUGGACGUGUUGUUGUGAUAACGCGCGUUGCGGCAUUAACGCAACGCAUGUCGGUGAUGCUCUUCCGGCUAUUUCCUUUCGGUCACACAUACACACACACACACGCAUGCACCUACGAAAGGACAUGCAUGCAGCAGUAUUGCAUAACGGAAAUUGUGUUGCAAUAUUUCCUACUUGAUUUGCAUGUUUGCCGAACGGCACACAAAGUUGGAUAUCCUUGCUCUCGCUCUGUAAUGCGUGCGUGUGCUUGUUUUUGUUGUUGUUGCAGCUGAUUGAGCAUGUCUAACGUGAUUAGGAGCCGCAAUUGCUCGGCUGAGUUUUAUUAUCGAAUUUUGCCGCAUAGUGCCGUCAUAUUUCACAGUUCGUCCGUUCGUCCGUUCGUCCGCUCGCUCCAUCAAGCAAAUUAAAUGUGUCUAAAUUGAAAUCAUUUGCCAUUUUGCCAUGAACAUAAAUCAAAUACAAUUUAAUUUUCGGAAUAUCAAUGAAAUCAUCUCACAUUCAUAUUUAAUCAGUAAAUUGCAUUUUUCGUUCGACUUCUGAGUGUGUGUGUUGACAUAAUUGUUUGUUUGUUUGCUAAUAUAUCACUCAAGAAUUUAUUGCUGACAAGCAUCAACUAAUGCAAUUAGUGCUGUGACCAACAUAUAAUUCUAUAAAAUAUUUGAGAUAAAGUUUCUUAAUUCUGAAAUAUAUUCUGUAUGUAUGUAAUUGGCGUUCAACCGUUUGGCCGAAUCGACGAUAGUGCGCCCUCUCUCUCUCUCCUUUGCAGUUCGGCGCCAGUUGGAGAUCCCAAGUGUAAACAGGUCGCUCUUCACCUGGUCCCUCCAACGGAGUGGAGGCCUUCCCCUUCCUCGGCUUCCUCCGACGGAUACUGCAUCGAACACUUUCAGGGCUGGAGCGUUUUCGUCCCAUCCGGACCACAUGACCUAGCCAGCGGAGCCGCUGUCUUUCCAUUCGCUGAAUUAUGUCAAUGUCGUCGUAUAACUCGUACAGCUCAUCGUUCCAUCGUCUGCGGUAUUCGCCAUUGCCAAUGUUCUGAGGACCAUAAAUCUUGCGCAAAAUGUUCCUCUCGAAGACUCCUAGUGUCGUCUCAUCUGAUGUUGACAUCGUCCAAGCUUCUGCACCAUAAAGCAGGACGGGAAUCAUCUUUACUUGUGCGAAAACUACUGUAUGUAUGCUCCAAGUUAACAAUUAGAUUUUUCUAUGUGAUUACAGGGAGACACCUAUAUAGUCGAUUUUACACAACUCUAACAACAACAAACGUGUCAUUCUUUAGACCAAAUAUGCUGAUAAACCCGGUACUACCCACCACUUGGAAACUUAGAUUUUAUAGGCUAAAUAAAGUCGAUUAUUUCGCAAAACUUUUCCUCAUAAGAACUGCUCGGAUGUUUCAUACAUACAUUUUAACGAAAUUAAAAUUACAAGUGAUGUAUGAAAGAAAAAGUAAUAUUAAUAACACCUCUAUUAGUCACAUGCUUGUUGCCAUCACCGCCUUCCAUGAAUUCACUGCGUUCUUUGCCUUACUGCCUCUUUUUUUGUACAUAUGUAUGUGCCUCAAUUAAUUUGAAAGCUCAAAGGAAAGACCUCACUCACUCAAACUUGCUGGCAAUAAAUUACGUCAUUACACCACCUCCUGCCUAAAUGCUCUGCUGAUGCUGAUGCUCCACAAGCGUCAAUAAUUGGUACACCGAUGAAGUAGCAAAUAAUGGCAAAUGCCAAAUGGCGAAUGGCGAACACUGCAUUAAAUCAUUCGGUAUUUAUGAAGGUAUGCAAAUACUAACGAGAGCGCCCCUAUAAGGGUCGUCAAUUAGGGGAAGUGCUUGCCGAGAGUAAUCAAAUUAAAAAAAAAAAAAACAGCAAAUUCACCACAAAUGCCAACGGAAAGUGGGAAAAUAGGCAAUGAGCAGCAGCGAAAGCAAUUGAAAUCACUGCAGAAAAGCAAAUAUUUGCGCCGGCGAGAAGAGUCCUCAUCAAUCACUGCCGAAAAGGUCGCAGUUGGCGCCAGCUCUUUUUUUAAUUUUCGGGCAAUUCAAAUGCGAUUUACUCUAUGAAAGUUUUUCAACAACAACAACAAAAACGCUGAACUAAUAUUAUUUAACAAAACAAAAUCACUCUCGCACACAGGCGGACAUGCUGCUGACCAAUCGCCAACGGUUUUCAUUGAUUUGUUUACAUUUUGGCGCUCGUUUGCCUACCAAAUACCAAAUCUGAAUUGUAAAUUCAUCGUGUAAAUGCUGUAAAAUUCGUUCGGCUCCAUAAAAUCCAUCGAAGGCAAACAUUCCGUUGCGGUGAUUGAACGCAGUCAAAAAUGAGCGACCUUCACCUCGCACUGUAACUGUCAGCCGCAGCCGCCCCGCCUGCCUUGGCUGCCUCGUCAUCUUAUCAUAGUUUCGCACAUCUUCCGAAGGCAAACAAAUUGUUUACUUUACAAAUUUACAUGCGUGAACACAGACCCACGCACUGAGACACCUAUAUUUUGCCGUUGUGUGAUGCCAUUUUAAUGAACUUCACCUUCACCAAAGUGAAUGCGAAUGUGAAUGCCGCAAAGACAACGCAAAAGAGCAAAUAGUUUAGUUUUCUUGAAACGCCUCGAUGCCUAUGCCUCGUCCGAAUUUGUGCGUUUGUGGGUGUUCGCGUCAACAAUAGCCCACACACUCAAGCACUCACCCGCUCGCAUGUGAGCGUCGUCUAAAAAUUAAAAUUUUUAAUUUCGAAAAAUAUAUAUUUACGCAUUCUUUCGGUGCUCAGCACAUUCUUCGCACACAACGCAGUGGCGCACAUACACAGUUGGACAGUGGCGAGAUUCGGCCACCGACAAGUGGGAAUAGCUGGCUGACGCGGCGACGGUCCGCUGACUCACUGUGCCCCUUCGUUCGCCCGUCCCCUGAGCGCCUAACUGCCAUUCAUGCAAAUCUUCGCUGCAGCUCUCGACUCUCGAGCGCUCCUCGGGUGGCACCGACGAAUCGGACCCUCAGUGGGGCGGCCUGCCCGCCAGUCAACUGCUGGCCAACAAGUGCGCGUGACGUCACAGCUCGGUGGCUUGUCAUUCCUCAUAUUCUUUGCGUUUUUGAAUUAUGACUAAAGCAUAUUUACCGCAUUCAUCUCUGUCUAUUCUUGCUCUCAUGACUGACUCGAUUCGAAAUUAUGAGAUGAAAUUGUUUAAAUAUGCAUUUGCUAUUUGCGAAAUGACUUUUUUAUUUCGUUAAUGGCACACAUUCACACGGUCCUUAUAUUCCACAUGUGUGCAGGUGUUGGUU